GUUGAAACACAAGUUCCCGUACGAUCAUCGAAGUUAAGCAACGUCGAGCCUGAUCAGUACCUAGAUGGGUGACCGCUUGGGACGAUC